AUUGAACGCUGGCGGCAGGCUUAACACAUGCAAGUCGAGCGGGGUGAUGGUGCUUGCACUAUCACUUAGCGGCGGACGGGUGAGUAAUGCUUAGGAAUCUGCCUAUUAGUGGGGGACAACAUCUCGAAAGGGAUGCUAAUACCGCAUACGUCCUACGGGAGAAAGCAGGGGAUCACUUGUGACCUUGCGCUAAUAGAUGAGCCUAAGUCGGAUUAGCUAGUUGGGGGGGUAAAGGCCUACCAAGGCGACGAUCUGUAGCGGGUCUGAGAGGAUGAUCCGCCACACUGGGACUGGGACACGGCCCAGACUCCUACGGGAGGCAGCAGUGGGGAAUAUUGGACAAUGGGGGGAACCCUGAUCCAGCCAAGCCGCGUGUGUGAAGAAGGCCUUAUGGUUGUAAAGCACUUUAAGCGAGGAGGAGGCUCUUUUGGUUAAUACCCAAGAUGAGUGGACGUUACUCGCAGAAUAAGCACCGGCUAACUCUGUGCCAGCCGCCGCAGUAA
rnacentral:rRNA from 1 species